GACUGAGGCCGAGGGGGAUGUCUUCUUCUUCUUUAGCUUCUCUAUCCAUUCUUCCAAGGGCUUCAUUGGCCUAUUCCCAACAGCAGCAGCUUUUCUUCCUCCAUCCCAAAUUGGUGUGCAUAAGGCCGAAAUACUACCAGUCUCUAACUUUUGAAGCUAAGGCCAGAACCAGGCAAGACAACCGAAUCGCUCGCCAUUCUCGUCUCCGCAAAAAGGUUUUAUUUUUAAAAAAUAUAGUCUUUUAUUAUCUCUUCUUCAACUUACCUUCCCCAAGCUGAUGCAAUCAUAGUCGUGUUUAUGAAUUCGGUAAGAGUUUUUAUAAUCACAGGAAAAGAACUGAAAAUGUAUAAUAAUGUGCACCUAUUUUUAUUAUUUGAAUUGGGUAAGUUACUAACUGGAAUAAUUUUGAUUUGCACCGCUAUUUUUUGGCAGUAGAAUUCUGCAUUUCAAAUUACAUAUGCCAAAAGUGCAGCAUCUGGAUGGGCUAUGCUUGUAUGUUAAAUUUGAGAGUAUUUGAGGAACUCUUAUCUGUUAGCUUACCCUGUUUCUACUUGGAAUCUCAUAAAGGUUGAUGGUAUCAGAUUUCCUUGUUAAGGGGUGGAUCCAUAUAAUAUGUGCAUAUUCAUCUCAAAUGUCAUCAAAAGUUAUAAUAUGGUUGUUUAAGGAUAACACAACAGGUGGUUCGUAUGUAUCUAACAAACCUUAGUUUUGGACAUAGGUUUUAGUCCUUCCAAAUGGCUAACUUGCUGACAGGUGAUGAUCUGGAAACAAAAUGAAUAUAAGAUUCAAAUGAUUUGCCACAUAUUCAACAAGUAUCUCAAUACUUGUUAGCCAAAUAUUCAACAAGUAGCUUUGAACUGGACAUCAUUUUUUUUUCAAUAUCAUUGGCAGACUGCUUGUCUAUUUUAGCAAAAUCUCAAUAUCUAAUGUUAGUACAUUGUUUUAUCUGUUUUCUUUCUUCAUAG
rnacentral:lncRNA from 1 species